CAGCACAGGUGAAUAACAGCACAGGUGAAUAACAGCACAGGUGAAUAACAGAAUAACAGCACAGGUGAAUAACAGCACAGGUGAAUAACAGCGCAGGUGAAUAACAGCGCAGGUGAAUAACAGCACAGGUGAAUAACAGCGCAGGUGAAUAACAGCACAGGUGAAUAACAGCACAGGUGAAUAACAGCACAGGUG